CCCCUCUCAGGGUUGCACCUGGAGAGUUUCCAGGAACCUACCAGUUUCAGCUACAGGAGGGAGAGUCAAGCAGAGGCCUGUCCAUUCCAUUCCUAGCUGGAGCAGUGGCUAGCAAGUGGGAGGCAAUCUGCUACAAGU